rnacentral:rRNA from 1 species
CAGCAGCCGCGGUAAUACGUAGGUGGCAAGCGUUGUCCGGAAUUAUUGGGCGUAAAGGGCUCGCAGGCGGUUUCUUAAGUCUGAUGUGAAAGCCCCCGGCUCAACCGGGGAGGGUCAUUGGAAACUGGGAAACUUGGGUGCAGAAGAGGAGAGUGGAAUUCCACGUGUAGCGGUGAAAUGCGUAGAGAUGUGGAGGAACACCAGUGGCGAAGGCGACUCUCUGGUCUGUAACUGACGCUGAGGAGCGAAAGCGUGGGGAGCGAACAGGAUUAGAUACCCCGGUAGUCCCUGUCUCUUAUAC